CCUACGGGUGGCAGCAGUGGGGGAUAUUGCACAAUGGGGGAAACCCUGAUGCAGCGACGCCGCGUGGGUGAAGAAGUAUUUCGGUAUGUAAAGCCCUAUCAGCAGGGAAGACAGACUACGGUACCUGACUAAGAAGCCCCGGCUAACUACGUGCCAGCAGCCGCGGUAAUACGUAGGGGGCGAGCGUUAUCCGGAUUCACUGGGGGUAAAGGGAGCGUAGACGGCCGUGCAAGCCAGGAGUGAAAGCCCGGGGCCCAACCCCGGGACUGCUCUUGGAACUGUGCGGCUGGAGUGCGGGUGGGGCAGGCGGAAUGCCUGGUGUAGCGGUGAAAUGCGUAGAGAUCAGGAGGAACACCGGCGGCGAAGGCGGCCUGCUGGACCGCGACUGACGUUGAGGCUCGAAAGCGUGGGGAGCGAACAGGAUUAGAUACCCGGGUAGUC
rnacentral:rRNA from 1 species